rnacentral:lncRNA from 1 species
GCAUUCUUGUAUCAUGUAAUGCAGUCUUUAUUGCCGGGUCUUCGACUUCUAGUUUUAGUGACGUAACAGCAAGCUUCGGGAAGAUUGUGCCGUAUUAGAGUUACGAAUUUACACAAUGGUAAUAUACACUGUCCUCAAGUAUUUGUCGAAUUCAGCUUUAGUGUAGAGGGAGCGUUUAGGGCCUUGGAAAAGCAUGAGUGAGUCGAUGUAUCCUUUCCGAACCAUAUUCUGAUGAGCAUUGAUAGAGUUGUUCAAGCUGCCUGAAGCGUGGUAAUAUCCACUCCCGGUUCGCGCGAGUGAAUCUGAGCACCGGAACCUACUCAUCUUUUUUCUGAAUUUGCAAAAUACUACGAGGCACCUCUAAAUAGGUCGUUCUGAGGGUAUCUCAGUUGGACUUAAAUCGAUGGUCUAGGGUUUUACAGAGUGAUCAAGUUAACCAUGCUAGGUCAACCUCUAGUGAAUCUGCUCUUGUUUCUAUUCGUACCAACUCUCAUCUGCUCACAUGUUCACACGAACCUGUGUAAAUGGUUAAGCUAUCUUGGAUUCCUUAAUCCCUUGGUUGGCUAUUUUCUGGUCAGAGACAAUCCCCCGUUAGCGUUUUGAAAAUAGCUUGAGAGUCAGUCUUUUCCAUCCAACUUCUGAUUCUUCCACCCAAAUAGCUAUUGAAGGGCUGAGACCCGACUGAUUCUUAUAAAUCUGUUGUAGAAUGAUCCCUCACAAGACCAAGAGGGGUGCUGCUGCUCUUGAGCGCUUGAAGGCCUUUGAAGGAGUCCCUGCACCGUAUGACAAGAUGAAAAGAAUGGUUAUCCCCGAUGCUCUCAAGUGAGUUAUCAAUCUCUCUCUAAAAAUGAUGCAAUUUAUGCUAUUCUUGGAUAAUAUGAAAAAUGCAGAUAUCACGCGGGUUUUAGCUGCAUUGGCAAUGCUUACAUGUCCACAUUAUGAUGAUUAUUAUUACUUUUAUUAUUACUUCCGCGUUGUGGUCACAAUAUCACAGCACGUGCUGAUCCUGAAUACUACGGCUCCACUUCAGGGUGUUGAGGCUGCAGCCUGGCCACAAAUUCUGUUUGUUGGGACGCUUGUCAGAGGAGGUCGGAUGGCAUCAUUACGACACCAUCAAGGUACGCAUAACUGCUAUAAUCCCUUUCUUGAAUGAGUUCAUUACUCUUAUUAACUUGUUUUCACUAGUAUGAACGACCAUGAUUGAUGGAUGUUAGUUAUUUUCAACCUGUUUCUGUCGUUGAUUAGGCUUAGGUGAGUAAUUUUUUUCAUUUUCUUCAUUAAUUUGCAGGAGUUGGAGGAGAAGAGGAAAGCCAAGUCUAAAGUGUUUUACGAGCGCAAGAAGCAGCUUAUCCAGUUGCGCCUCAAGGCCACCAAGCGUGUGGAGGAGCAGCUCAGUUCCCUUCAAGAAACAUUGGCACCCAUCACUUACACCUCUUAAAUUUCUGCAUGAUGAAUCUUGUUCCUACCCCUGCCUCAUUGUGGCUACUAAAUCGCAUGGUCGCAGCUUUGAUGGGAAUAAGAUUGAGUUGAUACAUUCUUAUUCAGAAUAUCUGUCAAUGAAUGGUACUUUUGGUUGAGAUGUACACAAACUGUCAAUUACGAAACUUUUGGUACAUGAACUUCUCAUGUGGCACCCCUAGUUCCUUACUGCAGCGCUUAUAUUCUAUUUUAGUUUGUUUUUAUCGAAGCAUCGCAUCGGUCAUUACAAUACUCGUGCGGUGCAACAUUGAUGUUGUACUGUGUAUCGUACGAUUCCCAAACCGUACAUAAUGAGCUACAACCAUUCUGCAAGCUUGAACCCAAUUUCGAGUUUUAGGCUUAUCAAAUGAAUCGCUAGAAUCUGAGUUUUCUUAAGGAGACUCCUGUGGAGGAAACGAAUCUUUAAGACACCAUUCUGAGUUGGAGAUGUGUCCAAAACAAGGUGCUGCGUGCUGAGCACUGUAGACUAAGACUAGGUACGAGGUUAUCAGUGGAAUACUUUCGGCUAAAGACUGAAUAGCACAAAAAUUCCUGUGCAGCGAGAUUGAUGCUGCGAACCCCUGGAGACGGUUAGCGUCAACCACGGGAUGGGAUUUUUGGACUAAUAGAGAUCUAUCAAAAAUUCAUGACCGAACCUAUUUUCCUUGUACAGAAAUAACUUUGAGUGUAGACUGAGCUCGAAAAUAUCGAACAAACCAUUUCUGCAUGUUUUCAAGUGCUAUAAUAUUUUCUGUUGCAGAGGAUAUCUCAAUUUAAGCGUCGAGCCUUCCGAAAUGUCUCCUUACUUGACCACGCUAGGUCAAACGAGGGCCUCUUACCAAUUUCUUGAGCUCUAUGCUCCAUGUUCACAUUGGUUAACAUAUAGUCAAGGCCGCAACCAACAAGGUUCCCGGACGUUUAGGGUCCCCAAGGCAUCUCCAGACCGGCUUUGGUUUCUCCACAUAGCGAUACUGGUAGUACAGCGGCGCUAGCUCACCCGUUUUUUGCACUGGUGGAAUGGGCUCCGGAAGGCUCUCAUUGAAGGUUAAGUUUUGAGUCAUCUGGUUAUUCAUCUCCAAAUCGUGUGGCUUCAUUUGGAUGCCGUUGUAAGGCACCUCCUCGUGUAUACUAUCUGAAUGAUCGCCAUCUACACUCCUUCCCAAUCUCACUUCAAUGUCCACACUCCCAAUGACCUUGUCGUCGAAGUUUUGCAACUUUCGCAAGACUCUCACCUCCAACGACAUGCGCUUGGGCUCACUUAAACAUCCAGGACUACACCCCCAAACCAUGCCCGACUUCAGCUCGGAGAGCAGCACAUGCGCAUACCCCACACUUUUCUUCCGGUCGUGGUCGAAGAUUUCCACCACCAGCUUCGCCUUCGCCAACGUCCCAAACAAAUUUUCCCUACAGAGCAUCCGAAUCGUACAGUUCCACGAUGGGUUCCUCCCACCUUUCUCCGCCACAUGGGUCGCCGCCUUAGAGUUGGAAUCGAUCCAAACAACAGCGUAUGGAUUCAUUCUCCCGAACCCAUGCUUGGCAUUCUUCAAGUUGUGCGCUGAAAUCACAGUCACUGCAAGCUCUCGCCGCACUCCCAUUUCCGUUGUUCCGAGUCGCUUCAGAAUGGCGUCACCGUAGCGAUGGCUUCAAAACUAUCAACAGACAGCCAACUAACGUCACCUUGGAAUGCGUGCACAAUCAGAUCAGAUGAGGAAACUGACAACUGAAAUGGGCAACAUGGUGUAGUGCGUCGGCGUGCAGCAGAUUUAUAGUGGCAGGAUGCGGAGGGUUGCGGGGCCGGGUAAGCGUGUGCACCCGCCGCGAGUCGUAGGGUGAAAGCGAGUUGACCGGGUGCCGUGCGGUCAAACCCGCGCGCCGACACUGUUGGACAAAGUGUGUUGACUUCCACGCCAUCGUAUAAGCAAGUCGAUGAAGGGAUGUGAAACUUUGUGCCCUCUUUUGUAGUAUGUCAUUGAAGAAUGCAUGGAUUGUGUUGAAAUGUAAUGGGGUAUUGGAAGGCAUGUGAACCUAGAGAUAAUUGAUUUUUAAUGAAGAAGUUGACAUAGAAAAUUGACACUUUUUUAAAAACAAAAUUAAAAGUUUAAAUUUAUUCAUGUGCAUUUGGAUUAUCUAAAUUUGUUUUCAUGGUGUUUAGGGUUUUGAUUGUGAUAUGAACAUCAAAUUGAGAAUAAUGUUUUUGUUUAACUAUUUAUUAUUAUUAUUUUUAAAAUUUUGUUGUGAUAGUUGUUUGUUAUGGCUGAUUUCAUGGUUUUUUUAUUUAUUUUAUUUUAUUUUAUUAUUUUUAUGGUUUGUUUUAAGAUUUUGAUCAUUAUGUUGAGCUUCAAAACAUCUAAUAGUUAUAAUUUGUAUAAAAUCAUGGAAGAUAGUAAUAACUUCUAUUAAUACUACUAGGGGUUGAGCUAAUCCUAUUAUAUUGUGAUAUAAUAUUGAAUAUAAUGAUUCUUUAUGGUAUGAUUUGAGUUCAAUAUUUAUGACUAAACUUGGGUUGAAACUCAUAACCACAAUUUGUACAAAUCAUAUAUAUUUUUGAACUUGAUGCAAUUAUAUUGUAAAUUCAAUGAAAAAUAAACAAAUGAAUGAAAUCAAAGGUAAUGCCACAAUUUUGUAUACAUUAUUUUCCAACUCUUUUAAGGCCAAGAUAAGAAAUAAAAGCUUAAAAUAACUUCAUGAAGAAAUUCAGCAAUUGAAGCUAAACCAUCAGCAUGUUUAUCUCCAUGUCCUAAGCUUUACUCUAACUCUCUUUUAUUGUACAUUAUAUAUGCAUAUAAACAAGUGAGAUGUGUACGCAUUGAAGUACAUGGUGUAUGUAUGAUUACCUUGUUUCUAAAUUACACAUAAAAUUAGAUUACUUUUUAUAGUAUCAAUCAAAUUUCAAUUUUUUAAAAACUUACACUAGAACAUGAUAAUUUUAGAAAUUAUAUUAAAAUAAAUUUUAUACAAUGUUUUACAAUGUUUUUAUUUUUUUUCUUUUUAUUUUUUUUUAAAUUUAAAAUUUAUGUAUAGAAAAUUAAAAUGAAUACAAAAGUUAUAUAAUAAAUAUUUAUUGAUCAAUAUUGAUUAGUAUAUUUAGAAUAUUUACUAAAAAAUAUUGAUUGAUUCAACAAUAUAUAUAUAUAUAUAUAUAUAUAUAUAUUUAUAAGUUCAAAUAUAAGUAAAGAAAACUUCAUAUUUAUUAAAGUUGUAUAUAAAAAAUUAUCAAAGUUAUAAAUAAGCUUCAUAUUUAAAUAUUCAAAUAUGAAUCAUAUCCAUUAUUAGACAUAUGAAUUGCAUUCAUUAUUUCAUAUUCUAAUAAUCAAAUAUGAAUCACAUCCAUUAUUUAUAAUUAGGUUACAAAGCUAAAGAAGAAUCCUUUGUUCAAACCAAUUCAAAAUGAAUUAAUUAGUGACUCUUAAUAAAUAGAAUAGAAUAAAUAAACAAAGACAUAGAAUAUAUAUAUAUAUAUAUAUAUAUAUAUAUAUAUAUAUAGUAGAAAAAUAAAAAAUUAGUAGAAAAAAAAAACAAACAAACAAACAAGAAGAAGAAAAGAAAUGAAAAGGAAAGGAAAAAAAAAAGUUUCUUGGUGGCUAGUUCCUAAAUUCCAGGACCUAGGAAUUGAUAGGGAUCUAGGGCAGUCCUAGAUUCUUUUUUUUCCCUCUCCAUGUAUGGAGUGGAUCUUUCAAAAGUACAAAAUUGGUUUUUUAUUUUUAUUUAUUUGGUUUUUUUUUUUUUUUUUUUUAUUAUUAUUUUUAGGCAUAUUUUUAGAAGGUCAGGCUAUGAGGAAUUGUAGCUAAUCUUUGGUUCUUUUUAAGCAUAGUAGCAAUGGCAGUUUGUUAACUAGUGUCACGAGUUUUGCUUCUAUUCAAUACUCACUUGCUAGUGGCUGGACUUUGUUGGUGUCAAAGUCUUGAACUCAAGCAAUUGAGAAGUCUAUUUUUGGUGAACUGCUCAUAGUUAGGUUCUCUUGUUGCAGUAGGAUUGUGCUGUGGUUCUACAAUGCGCGGCAACUCUGAGGUAGUUGUCUUGCAAUUGGAGCUACGGAAGCCAUUCAACAUCAAUUCUUCAACUUUAAGUUCUUAUCGAAGUUCUUCUCUAGAACAUACGAUUGAAUGGUGGCUUAAUCCUUUGCUCUAGUCUUAUGGUAUUGUUGUCAGACGGUGCAAUAUUGUAUCAAGGUAUAUGGUAGUAGUUGGCUUGCCUUCAUAGAAAACUAUUAAGUAAUUGUUCUUUUUAUUGUGUCAUCUUAGUAGGAAAUUUCUUAAAAUAAAAAUAAGAUACAACUAUCUUAAUUAAGUUGUUAAUGGUCAAAGAAUAAUAAAAAAAUGAAGAUAACUUACUAAUGUGGUAGCUAGGUUAAGAAAAAUUUAGAGUUAAGUUGAAUGGAUGAAGAUGAUUAAAGAUGAAGUUCAACUACAAUAGAUGUAAAUUCUUUCUAUAAAUAAAAGGUGUUGGAAGAGAGAGGCAUCUCAUUUCACCCUUCUCUUGAGUGCAAUAAUUCUAAUUUUUACUUACUUUUGUCUUGCUUGUUAUAUUUUUUCAAUAUGUCAUAGGUCCAUUUACACUUUUUUGUGCCAUUUAAAUAAGUUGAUGUCAUUUUUUAGUGAUUGUACUUUUGUAGAAUAGAUCUUAUGGUGUUUGUUGAUGUUAGGAUUUGUAAGAUCUAAACUUAUAUUUUUGGCAUGAGGAGGUACUAAUUUUGACGUCAUAGAUCUCUAACAUUAUUUGGUAGGUUCUUAAUUCCUAAGAUUGUGAAUUUAAGACCUUAUAGAAAGACCUUGAUAGUGUCUUUUUGUACUGUUGAAGUAAUUUCACUUACUUUGUAUAUAUUAUGAAAUAAUUAGUUUAAAAGAGUAAGAUGUCUUAAUAGUAAGAUUCUUUGGAGUAUAUAUAUUUGUUAAAAGCUUCAAAACUUGAUUUGAGAGUGUUUUGAGUGAGAAAGCAUUCUAUUAUUUACAAAAGAAUAUUUUGAGAUUCUACUAGUAUUAAAUUGAUUUGGUCAUUUUGAAUACAUAAAGAUUUUUUAUUUUUUAUUUUUAUAGAAUUCUUUUUAAAUAUGGAUUUUGGUGAAGGUGAAGGUUUGAGAGUGAUUGUAAAAUUUAAAAGAGAUAAUUUCUACCAUUGAAAGAUCAAAAUAGAACUUUUAUUAGUAUCUUUGGAUCUUUGGGAUGUUGUAGAUGAAAGUGAAGAGCCUUUAAGUAUAUAUAUAUAUAUAUAUAUAUAUAUAUAUAUAUAUAUAUAUAGAUGCUAAGGAGAAGAAGGUCUUUAAAAGAUGUGAAAAGAAGGCUUUUGGCAUAAUUACUACUAAUUUGGAUGAAACCAACUUUUUUCACAUUAUCUCUUAAAAAGAAUCAGAGAAAGCAUAGAAGACUUUUUGCAACAUAUAUGACAGUAAGAACUUAUCCAACAUCAUCUUUACAAGAAAUAAAUUCUUUACUUGCAAGAUAGAAGGAGGUGAAGACUUCAUAACUCAUAUCAAUAAGGUAAAGGCUCUUGCAAACCAAGUAGCAAUUAUUGAUAAGCUUUUAAAAGAAAGUAAUAUUAUCAUGAACUUGCUUAUGAGUAUUUAUGAGUCCUACAACUACCUCAUUGUGGCAUUGGAGUCUAUCAAAUUAAACGAACUUACAAUGGACUAUAUGACAAGAAAACUUAACCAUGCAAUAAGCAAGAGGAAAAAAAAAGUACCUUAAAGUGAAGAUUUGGCUCUCCUUUUAAGAUAAGGUAAGAGAAGCUAUUUUAAUAAAUGUAGUAAUAUAAGAACUCGCUUCAUUUGUGAGAAAUAAGAUCUUUUUGUAUAAAAUUGCUUCAAGACAAAAAAAAAGAAAAGAAAAGAAAAAGUACCAAUAAUGUACAUGAAUAAUUUAGCAGACAUGGUUUUGCAUUCAUGGCAAGUGAAGGCACCUCGAUGGCUAUCAUAUCUAAGUAGAUUGUUAAUUUGGAUGCCACCAAACACAUGACUCUAUACAAGUAUUUAUUUGACACUCAUGAAGAAAUUUCAGCAAAAAGUAUUUUUAUAGGAAAUAAUGGUAUAGUACAAGCCAUUGAAAUAGGCUCCAUUAUAGUGGAGAUUGUUAUGAGAUGAAAAGCCAAGAAGAUCAAAUUAAAGGAUGUCUUACAUGUAUUCAAAAACAAAAAAAAAACCUCUUUUUUAUGAGUAAACUAAUUUCUUAUGUUUGUAAGGUGCUAUUUGAUAAGAAUGGAUGCUUUGUAAAGACAUUGGAUAGAGAUGAUAUUUCAAAGAGUUUUAGAGAUGGCAACCUCUACUUUAUUAAGUAUAAAAAAGAAAAUAGACUUGAAGUGGAGUCAUUUGCUAAGUUUCUACAUGAUCAAGAUAAAUUUGAUAUUUGACAUUAAUGCCUUAGUCAUUUAAAUUUUAAGAGCAUGAAAGAAUUCCAAUCUAUAGUAAGUGACUUAGAUCUUAUUCAAUUUAGCAAAAAUGCCAUGACACUUGCUUAUGAAGGUUGUAUUCAAAACAAAUAACAAAAGGCCUCAUUUCUAAGUAGAGUUGCAACAUAUACAAGUAAGUUGUUAGAGAUUGUAUAUUUGGAUGUUUGUUGAUCAAUGAAGAUACCAUCAAUUAAAGGAAUAAGGUAUUUUGUGACAUUUAUUGAUGAUUUUUCAAAAAAGAUGUAAAUUUUCAUCAUCAAAGCUAAGAGUGAGUGCUUUUUAAGUUUUAAGGAGUUUAAGGCACUUGUGGAUAAAUAAUGUGAAUAUAAGAUCAAGGUGUUUUGCACGCAUAAUGGAAAUAAGUACUUAUCAAAGUAUUUUAAUUGAAGUUUUAAGAUAAUGCAAGACAAACCUCCAUUGCUUACACUCGACAACAAAAUGGAAUUGCUAAAAGUACAAAUCAAAUCAUUAUAAAGAUGGCAAGGAGUAUGUUACAUGCUCAAUACCUUUGGCAUGAAUUUUAGGCAUAAGUCAUGGUAAAUAUAAUAUAUAUAUAUAUAUAUAUAUAUAUAUAUAUAUAUAUAUAUAUAUAUAAAAGAAAUAGAUGCCUUACAAAUGCUUUCAUAUCAAUGAUAUGGAGUAUCAUUUUAAAAACAUGGAAUAGAAGAAAACCUUGUAUUUUAUAUAAAAAGAAUUUAGGAUGCAUUGUUUAUGUAUAAAUAAUAAAGUAUAUGAGGUCCAAAAUUAAUACAAAAGGUACAAAAUGUAUGUUUGUUGGAUGUUGUAAAGGUACCAAGGUAUAUAAGCUAAUGUAUUUAGAUACCAAGAAGAUCAUUAAAAAUUAUGAUACAGAAUUUUUGGAGCAUGAAAGUGCUUAUGAGCACUUGAAGAUGUAUCCAAAUAGGAGUAAUUGUAUGUUUGUAGACAUAUCUUUAAAUUCAAUGAAGAAAGUAAAAUAAGAUAACAACAAUAAAAAUGAUAGAGGUCUAAUGUCAUGGACACAGAAAUACAGACUCGAGAUCUAACAAGAAGUUCAAGAAGAACUGGCAAGAACUAGAUUAAUCAGAUGAAUACAAGAACAAAACCAAAGAGGUGAGCUAGAGCUCCAAGAGAUGUAUUAUCGAGACUAAAGAACUCUUCAGCCUCGAUUCUAAUAUAUACUCCUAUUUAAGAAGCUUCUCAAGCAACUUCUACUAACUAGGAAGCUUCUAGAAGGUUCCAGAGACUUACUUCUAGAAGGUUCUAGAAACUUAUCUCUAGAAGGUUCUAAGGACUAUGUGCCUAACAUCUUCUAUCAACUAAGAAGCUUCUAGAAGGUUCCAGAGACUUGUUUCUAGAAGAUUCUAGAAGCUUGUCUCUAGAAGGUUCUAGAAACUUGUCUCUAGAAGGUUCUAGAAACUUGUCUCUAGAAGGUUCUAAGGACUAUGUCCCUAAUAUCACCCCCUCCUUUAGCUUCGAGGUCUUUGAGAAGCAAUGUUGUUGUCAAUCAGUACCAAUGCAAGAAAAUGAAGAUCUGUCGCAUAAGGUAUGCUAUGAACUCCAACUGUUGUUCACGAGGCAAGUGGUUCAUUGGUCCUUGAGGCCAAUGGUAGUCGCCCGCUCCUUCAACUUCUGACCAAGCAUAAACUUCCAUGUCUUCAUUGUGAAAUUAUCCUGCAAAUAUGCCUUCUGGCUGACCAUCGUAAGCAGGCUCGGACUCAAAUACAAUCACUAGUGAUCGGUUACUUGGUAUCCUCCGUCAUCGUCGUGGUACAGGUGGUUCUUCAUCUCGGGGUUGCCUUCGUGAGCUAGUUGGUUGAGAUAAUCUGACUGGCAUAGUAUUUAUCUCUUGGCUAUCCAUAUCAGAAGACCAAACUAUGGUUACUGAAAAAAUUCUAUUUUAUCUUGGAAAAAAUAACUACAUCAACUACAAAUUUUGGUAGUGCUCUCCCCCUUUCUUAUAUUCUUGGGUGAGCAAGCUUCAGAAAGAAGCUAUUGUCGAACCGGCUUAGGUUUAUGAGGAUGUUGUUGAUGAAACUCUUAUAUCUUUUGCGACGCAUUGGCGAGAUUUUCAGUUGGCUCCCACGUUCGCUCAUUAAUGUCGUAGCCGCACUAAUGAACAAGAUACUCCAACUUGCCCCACCUUCGCCGUGAAUCCAGUAUCUUUUCAACCUCGUAUUCCUCGUGGUUCUUGAUCUUAAUACUAGGUGGCGGACAUUGCACUCUUCCAAGAAAAGACGUCUCUUGAUAAGGCUCCAAUAGAGAAACAUGAAAGACUGGAUGUACCUUCAUAGAAGCCGGUAAUUCCAAACGGUACGCCAUUGGAUUGAUUUGCUUCUGGAUGAUAAAUGGUCCCAAUCUUCGAUAGUCCAACUUAUCACAUGAUCGCUUGAUCUUGAUAUUUUGUCGAGGAAGCCAUGUUUAAUCUCCAAUUUUGAAAGUAGGUGCUUGAUUUCGAAAUCUAUCUAUAGACUCCUUGUAGGAUUCUUGAGCGGAUUGUAAUUGAAGCUUCAACAUAUUUUGAAGCUCUGAUAGUUGUUUCGUAAAUCUUUCAGCUGUUGGAUUGUUAUUUGUUGAUGGACUCAAUAAAUCAAGCUUCGGAUGAUACCCAUAGUUGGAAAAGAAUGGUGUGUAUUGAGUCGACGCAUGAAGGGUGUUGUUAUAUGCAAACUCGGCUAGCGACAGAUAUGUGGUCCAAUCAUCUUGUUGAUAGUUGAUGCUAUAUCGUAAGUAUUGUUCCAAGACUUGGUUCACCCGUUCCGUUUGGCCGUCAAUUUGAGGAUGAAAAGCCGAAGAAAGCUUGAUAUCCACCUUCAGUAUCUCAAAGAGAGAUCUCCAAAACUUUGAUGCGAACUGGGUUCCUCGAUCUGAUACGAUAUCAUCUGGUAGUCCAUGAUAUCGAUACACAUUAUCGAAAAAGAGCCUUGCUGUGACUUCAUUGAACGAUGUCUUCUUACUAGGAACAGAGUGCGCCAUCUUUAUAAGCUGAUCUACCACGACAAAGAUGCUGUCAAAUGAUUUCGAUGAUGGCAGGUCCGUGAUGAAGUCCAUGGAAAUUGAAGACCAUGGUCGAAGUGGAAUCGGCAAUGGUUGUAGGAGUCCAUAAGGGCGAUGCCGAGGAUUCUUGGAUCUUGAACAGAUGUUGCAGGAGAGGACAAAAUCUUUCACAUCCUUUCACAUUUGGGGCCACCAAAAAUCUCAAGAAAUAAGCUCCAAGGUCUUGUUGAAUCCAAAAUGUCCUGCAGUUGGAAAAUCGUGGCGAGAUUGAAGAGCUCGGAGUCGUGCUGGUCCUUUUGGGAUAUAUAAUCGCUCUUCAAAGUAUAAAAGAUCUCCCUCCACCUUGAACUUGUCGUCAUUGGCAUGCUACUUAAUAUCAAUGGCUACUGAAUCUUCAAUGGUCACGGCACAUACCUGAUUCAGGAAGUCAGCAUCAAUUGGCAAAAUAGUAGCGCAAAGCUGAAAUUGCUCUGGCUUCAACAAUGUCAUACAUUGUUGAUCAAACGCUACUUCUCUAGCCUUUGGUAUAAGAUACAAUCUCCUUGAUAAGACAUCAGAUAGGCCUUGCUGCUUUCCAGGUCGAUAAGUGAUAACAAAAUCGAACCUAGAUAGUAACAUACUCCACCGAGCUUGACGUCGAUUUAGAACUCGAGCCGACAUGAAAUACUCCAAAUUCUUGUGAUCUGUGUAUACGGUCACUGGAUGUGUAGCUCCUUCAAAAAAGUGAUGCCAUUCUUGGAAAGAAUCCACUAUAGCAAGAAGUUCCUUAUCGUGGAUCUCAUAAUUGAUUUCAGCAGCAGAGAACUUUCGAGAAUAGAAUGCAACUGGAUGGAGCUUCUUGUCUUCUCCUAUUUGUGAAAGUACAGCUCCUAAAGCAAAAUCCGAAGCAUCAGUUUCUAAAUAAAAGGCCUUUGUAAAGUCUGGAUGUACCACGAUUGGAGCUGUAGUAAAUGCCAUCUUCAGGUCUUGAAACGCCUUCUCUGCUAGAGGUCUCCAUUCUAGCUUAUCCUUGCAUGUCAACUGAGUGAGAGGAGCAGCAACUUGAGAGUAAUUCUUGAUGAAGAUCCGAUAGAAGUUGACAAAACCAAGAAAGCAUUGUAUAUCUCUAAUCGUCUUUGGAACCUCUUAAGACACGAUUGCUUCCACCUUCUUGGGAUCCAUCUUCAAGCCUUCCGUAGUCGCAACGAAUCCCAGAAACUCCAUCUCUAUUUGAUGAGAUAAACACUUCUCCAACUUAGCAUAUAGUCUUCGCUCGCGUAGUUUCUCCAAGACCAAACGAACGUGCUUUUCAUGCUCUUCCUCAUUUUUGGAGAAUAUCAAAAUAUCAUCCAAAUAGAUGACAACAAAAUCAUCAAGGUGCUCUCGAAAAAUGUCAUUCAUCAUAUGUUAAAAGACCGCUGGAGCAUUAGUAAGACCAAAAGGCAUGACAUUAUAUUCAAAGUGGCCAUACCUUAUACGGAACACUGUCUUCCACUCAUCUCCUUCCUUGAUUCGUACGAGAUUGUAAGCUCUCCUUAGAUCAAUUUUCGUAAAGAUCUUUGCACAUCCAAGUUAUUCUAAGAGACCAAAAAUCAAAGGUAACGGAUAACGAUUCUUUUUUAUUACCUUGUUGAGGCCUCGAUAGUCCACGCACAUCCGCAACGAGCCAUCUUUCUUUUUCACAAAUAAGAUGGAUGCUCUAGCUGACGAUUUUGAAUGAUGGAUGAAGUUCUUAGCUAGAUUCUCGUUGAUGUACUUUUGCAACUCCGCCAAUUCCGUUUGCGAUAGAUUGUAGAUUGGGCCAAAAGGUGAUUGUGCUCCUUCUUAUAAGUCUAUGGCACAAUCAUAUAGUCUAUGUUCCGGUAGCAUGUCGACAUUUUUCUUUUGAAAUACGUCUUUAAAAUCUUUAUAUUGCUCCGGUAUACUUGCUGUCGAGAUCUUCUCCCCGGUAGUUGGAGUCGCAUAAAUGACAAACGAUGUACCUUCCUUCGACGAUCUUGUAAAUGUUCUUGCUCCAAUGAAUAAAGAUUUCUCUAUUCGGGGUUUUCUACUAGGUUUGCUCUUGGGUGGUUUUGUAGGAAAGGUGAUCUUCCGCAACUUCCAAUCUAUGGAUGGGUUAUGCUUUUUCAACUAAGAAAGACCAAGAAUAACAGGAUUUGAUGGGGUUCUAAUAAUAUUGAAAAUAAUAUGACUACUAUGGCCCUUAAACGUCAUUUCUAUAGGUUUUGAUUCAUGGGUGACACUACCAGACAAUAAAGGUCGUCCAUCUAUGACCUCAACGUGAAUAGGUUUGGAUUUUUGUACUUAAGGGAUCUUAUGAUGCUUCGUAACUUCUUUGUGUAAGAAACAAGUAGAUGGUCUUGAAUCUAAUAAUGCUAAGGUUUUCAGUUUUUGUGGGCCAAUAAGCAAAGGGAUUGUAAAAUAGUGGACAGGUUGAGCGGAAAGAAAGGAAUCUGGUUGUUGUUGCGAUAUUUCACUAUUCAGCCGCAUGGUUCCUAUUGUGACUGGGCAUCCUCGUUUUCCUGAAUAAAUGCACACCUAGUCUUGAUAAUACGUCGAUUUUGCUUCUUGGGGCAGUUUCCAACUUUGUGGCCUUCUUCACCGCAAUACAAGCAUAGACCUUCCUUCAUACACCGCUUUUUUUCUUCUAGAGUAAGAAAUUUGACACGUAUCGCAUCAAUUUGCAUAUCUUCUACCUCUGAAUGUGAAUUCACGCUGCUUGUCGACAUAGCUGGGGUGUGGCGAACCAUAUGAUGUCUUGAACGUUGGUCUUGGCAAUGUUGGAAUAGCCAGUUAUCGCACUUCAUAGCUUGGCUAUUAGCUUCGUUGAGCGUUUGCGGAUCAGGAAGAAUUAACUCAAAUCCUUCACAUUGUUCCUUAAAUUCCAAUAGAAUUGACUCAUCAAUGCUUCUUCGUUCCAAUUGAUGUCGCAUGCUAAUUGCCUAAAGUUCGAUGCAUAGAUUGAUGUAGAACGCAUCCCUUGUCGUAGUGACCGGAUCUUUGUUGUAGCCCAUCAAACCUUGUCGUGUUCACCAAAUGCUUCCGCAAACGCCUCCAAAAAGGUUUCAAAGUUGUUUAGUAUGGACGAUCGUUUCUCAAACAAAAGAGCAAACCAUGAUAGAGCUUGUACUGUAAGUAAGGUUCCAACAAGCCCAACACGUGACUCCUCCAUUGGAUAGCAUUCACAUUAUAAAACUGUUAACAACCUGAUUUGAUUGACGAAUCCUCGAAACUUGGAAUGCGUACCAUCGAACUUGUCCGGAAGGCUAACUCGGGGCUCCUUAUGUUGUAGAACUAGUAGUGCUUGUCGAAUCUGAGGCAAAGUUGCUUCUCGAAGUGUAGAAGUUUGAGGCUGGUGCAGCCUACAUUGUGCCAUCCCAGAUGCUCCAUCAUUAUGAAGCCUUGCUACGACUCUUUCAAUCUCUGUAGUUCUUUGCGAUAACGUAGCGAGGGUAUUUAUGAUAGCAUCCAAUUUGGACUUUGAACUUUUUGUCAUAUUAAUGUCUUGGCCCUCGGCCAUUCUAAGAGAAGGUCAAAAAUGACUCUACAAUAAGACAAUAUUGGUUUAGAAGAGGGUACUCCACAACCUCUAAAAUGCCUGAAGAGCUUCAAGAAAAGAGGUCAUCCACUCUCUCCAAGAAGAAUAAGACUCCAAUAUUGUAACAAAAGAAGUAUCAGUUUAGAGGAGGGUAAUCCGCAACCUCUAAAAUGCUAGUAGACUUCCAAGCAGAGGGAUAAUCCCCACUCUAACAAAGAAGAAACUAGGUCUGAUAUCUAAGGUGAGUGAAGUCUCGACAAACUAUCACGUACACAAAAAUACAGACUUGAGAUCUAACUAGAAGUUCAAGAAGAAUUGGCAAGAACUAGAUUAAUUAGAUGAAUACAAGAAUAACACCAAAGAGGUGAGCUAGAGCUUCAAGAGAUGUGUUGUCGAGACUAAAGAACUCUUCAGCCUCGAUUCCAAUAUAUACUCCUAUUUAGGAAGCUUCUUAAGCAACUUCUACCAACUAAGAAGCUUCUAGAAGGUUCCAGAGACUUGCUUCUAGAAGGUUCUAGAAUUUUAUCCCUAGAAGGUUCUAAGGACUAUGUCCCUAACAUCUUCUAUCAACUAAGAAGCUUCUAGAUGGUUCCAGAGACUUCCUUUUAGAAGGUUCUAGAAGCUUGUCUCUAGAAGGUUUUAGAAACUCGUCUCUAGAAGGUUCUAAGGACUAUGUCCCUAACAUCUAAAUGAAUGUCAAAUAGCAAUGAAGAUAAAUUAGAAGGCCUCUACAAUUUCUAAGACCAUCAAUGAAGUUUUUAAAAAUUAUAAUAACAAUGAUGAAGAGUACCAAUCUUUGCAUGAGAAAAAAUAAGCUUUAAAAGAAAAAAAACUUGAAAGAGAAUAUGGAGUGCAAUAAAAUGAAUAUUCUUCAAAUAAAAAGAGAUAUCUUUAAAAAAAGAAGUUCAUGUGGUGAAUAAUAGAAGAAUCACAUCUUUCCUCAAGUAAGUAAAGGACAUAUUAAUGUUGCAUUUCUUACUAAUCCAUUGAAUUUGUGUGAUGCAAUGAAGUCCAUGGAUGCUAUGAAAUAGAAAAAUGCAAUGAAAAUAGAAUAUAAAUCACUCAUGGAAAAUUGAAUGUGGAAAUUGACUCAACUUCUAUCAAAUCGGCCUUCAAUUGAUUGUAAGUGGAUAUUUAGAACCAAAAAAGAUACAAUGGAUAAUGUUGUAAGUUAUAAGGCAAGAUUAAUUGCCAAAAGAUAUUCAUAAGUUGUUAGUAUUGAUUUUAAUGAAAUAUUUGUUCUUAUGGCUAAUUUAUUAUUAUUAAAACUAUUGUAGAAAUUAGAGUACCAAUAGAUUUUGAAAUACAUCAAAUGGAUGUAAAGAUGGAUUUUUUGAAUAGAAAUUUGAAAGAAGAUAUAUAUAUGGAUCAAUUUCAAAGAUUUGUUGAAGAAGGCAAAGAAUAACUUAUUUGUAAGUUCAAGAAAUCCUUAUAUGGACUAAAACAAUUACCAAGGGCAUAAUACCAAUGUAUUGAUAUAUUUUUUGUGAGUGAAAGAUUUUUAAGGAGUAAAACUAAUCAUUUCUUAUAUGUAAUGUAAUCAAAUGAAUUCAUAUUGAUUGUCAUCAUCUAUGUUGAUAAUUUAAUCAUAUUGAGUAACACCAUAAAAAGUAUGGAUUGACUAGAGGCAAAAUUAAAAAAAUGAAUAUAAGAUGAGUGAUUUGAGAAAGCUCUACUAUUGUUUAGGAAUGGAGUUUGUAAGAGAUUGUGAUAAUAAAACUAUUAUAAUAAGCCAAAGCAAGUACAUUGAAGAAGUGUUGAAAUAAUUCAACAUUGAGGAGUGCAAGGUCAUUGGAAUACCUUAAGAGGCCAAUUUGAAGUUCAUAAAGCUCAUAGAUGAGAAAUUUAUUAAAAUUAAAGAUGAAAUAAAAGAUGCUCCAUACAAAAUAGUAAUAGGUUCACUUAUAUAUACAAUAGUUGGCACAAAGACAGAUCUUGUAUAUAGAAUGAAUGUUGUGAGUGAAUACAUACCAAAGAUUGGACCAAUUCAUUGAGCAACCAUCAAAGAAAUUAUGAAGUACAUGAAAGGCAUUUUGAAUUUCAAAUUGUAUCUUGGAGGAGAUGAUAUUGUAUUGUAUGGUUAUUGUGAUGCGAAUAGGAUUGAAGAUGCAAAUAAUAGAAGGUCAACAAUGGGCUAUGUAUUUUUUUAUUGGAAUGGGAGGAAACCCAUGGAAUUACAAAAAACAACCAAUAAUUGUAAGGUCCAUAAUAGAGGCAAAAUAUAUGGCACUAAGUCAAGGUACAAUGGAAGCAAUUUGAUUAAGAUAAAUUUUAGAAGACAUUAGACCUGUACAACUGGAAGCAAUUUCAAUGAAUUGUGAUAAUCAAAGAUGUCUUAUUUUUACAAAUAAUCCAAAGAAUCACUCAAAAAUCAGGCACAUUGAUAUUCAACAUCACUUUAUAAGAAGAAAGAUUAAAAUGACAGUAAUUGAUAUGGAAUAUUGUACAAAAAAAGACAUGCUCAUUGAUUUGCCAAAAAAAAUACUAAUGAAGAAUAGAUAUCAGAAGUUGACUAAGAUACUAGGUUUAAAAGCCUUUAAUCAAUAGCAAAGUAGGAGUAUUAAAAUAAGAAUAAAAUAUAAUUACCUAAAAUAAGUUGAUAAUGGUCAAAAGAUAAUAAAAAAAUGAAGAUAACUUAUUAAUGUGGCAGUUAGAUUAAAAGGAUUUUAGGAUUAAGUUGAAUGAAUGAAGAUAAUUAUAGAUAAAGUUCAACUAUAAUAAAUUUAAACUCUUCCUAUAAAUAAAGGAUAUUGGAAGAAAGAGACAUUUCAUUUUAUACCUUUUUUAUAUUGAACAAUUCUGAUUUCUAUUUAUUUGUGUCUUGCUUGUUGUAUUUCUUCAAUAAGAUCAUGCUUCUAAAUAGUCCAUUCACUAGAGCUCAUAUAUUGAGUUUGACACUCAACUUUUUUUUAGUGUUCUAGUUUAAUAAUGUGAUCUUAUUAAGUUCUUGGUUGCUUCUCCUUCAAUCAAGUGUUGUUGCAUUGCAAUCAUUCUUGGUUGUAUACAUAGACAAUAAAGCAUGUAGAGAAGCAUCAAAUUUUAAGUGAGAUUUGAUAAUACUAGGUAGUAUUUGAUGCUGAAUUCAUGUUAGUCUUUUAAGAAGCUUAAGGUCAUUAAAAUCAAAGCGAAGAUAAUUUUGAGGCAACGAUCUAACAAUUCAAGUGACCAAGUUUCAAUAAGUUAAAAGCAAGCCUUGAACUCCAAUAGACUAUAGAUUGUCAAGGUUUGAAUAUAAAAGAGUUCAAAAUAGUCUGUGGAAUCUAGAGCCAAAUAUUAAGCAUCUUGGAUCAACUGUUGAAGUGAAGAUAGUUUUAAAAAUAAAGUUCUUGUAAUUAAAUUGAUAAUUUGGAAUAUAUAAGUUGGAGGAGCGGUUUUCAUAGUUGAACUAUAGGAUUGACGUAAAAUUUCUAUUAUUUCCAAAGCCACGUGAAUUCUAAUCUCAGUAAAUUUUGGAGUUACUGAGUAGAUUAAAGCGGCUACUAAAGUGGAGAGAGGUUUUGAAGGUGGCCUUAUAGAUUGCAUAUUAAUGUCUCUUAGAAUUGUUGUAAAUGAAGACCAACAUGUUUUCUAUUUAGAAUUGGUGUAGCAUUCAAGUACUUCUUUGACAUAUCUCUCUUCUUUAGGAAUUUUGAAGGUAACAACCUCAUAUAGAAUGAAUAUUUAAAAUUGAAUGAAUUUAUAUUAGAUGAAGUUUAGAAAUUAGACAAAGCUAAAUUUAAAUUAAAUGAAGUUAGAUUAGGAUUUAAAGAAAAUCAAAUUGAAUAAAUUUUUAAUAUCAAGGAUGAAUUUUAAUUAUAGAUGAAUUAUUAUAGAUAAAUUUUGUUAUAAAUGAAAUAUUAUUUAGAGAUGAAUUCUUAUUCUUAGAUGAAAUUUUAUUAAUAGAUAAAUUUUAAUCAAAAUAGUAAUAAUAAUAAUAAAAAAAUAAGUUAUCUAUGCAUAAAUAUUUUUUUAAGACUUUAUAUUGUAAGUACAAAUCACAGUAAGGAUAUUUAUUGACUAAUGGAAUUAAUUUAGAGAAGUUAGAAAUUUAUUUAAUAAAACUUAAGUAACAAUUACAUCUAAUAGACUACAUAAAUAAGUUCAAUUGUUAUAAAUUAGAACAAACUUCUAGCUAGUAGGGAUUUAUUUUAGUUUACAAUAAUUAUAAAAAAUUGAAUAUGAAAUAAAAUUUUUAUUAUUGUUGAAUUGUAAUGCUUAAUGAGUUGGUGAUAAGAAGAUAAGAUAUUAUCUAUAAGUAAAUGGAGAAGAAUAUAAGUGUAGAUUGAACAAAACAUUUAUAGAAUAUAUUAUUAAUUAUAAGAUGAUGUAAAAAAGAAUUUAUAAGUUGAAAUUUAAUAUAGUAAUCUGUAUAGUUUGUGAAGUUAUAAGUAUAUACAUGAAAAAAGAUCUUAGUUUAGAAAAUAUAAUAAUGAUAAAUAGUAGGAAAUUAUCGUAUAUUUUUUAGUACAAUUUAUAAGAUUAAACAUACUUCUCACAAAUACUUAUAAUAUUUAAAGUUGUAAGUUUUGAUAUAUUGGAAAAGUAAAUUUUGAAUAUCAUUGAUUAAAUAUAGUACUUGACAUAUUUAAAGAUGUAGGUUUGGAUCUAACCAAAAUAUGUAUUGAUGUAAGAUGUACAAAUCUUAAUUCUUUUAUUUGUCAUGUUUAGAUGUCUUGAUUGUGUAAUUAAAGAAUUAGACUUGAAUAUUCACAAAAAAUCUACUAUGAUUAGUUGCAUAAUUGGUUUUUUGUAAAGCCUUGCAUUUUCAUUAAGAAAAGAAUACAAAAGAUACAAAAUAUUUAUUUACAAUACAAAAUAUUAAUUAAAAGAAUGGAUGAUUUAUUAAAGAUAACAUACAUGUUGAAUAGAAAUCAAUAUACAAAUUUAUAUAUUUAACUUGUCCAAGUGAUAAAAUUAUUUGACAAGAUAUUGACUUAUGAUGAUAAUAUUGAAAAGUUGUGGCUUAUAUUUAUUGAAUUACAUGUUGUGGUAAGCAAAAACUUUUUAUUGUUAGAAAAUUAUAGAGAUGAAAAAUGGUGCAAAGUAGCUAUCUUUUAAAUGAAGAAUAAAGAAAGUUUUAGAAAAAUCCUUUUAGAUUUGGUUCUUUGUUGUAAUGUGGCAUGUAAUGUCAUGACAAUGUACUAUUUAAAAGAGUUUGAAGACAUUGCAUGUAUUAUGUGUAAUAUUGCUAUGUUUGAUGAAAUUGAAGGAGAUGAUACAAAUCUCUAUAAAAAGUUGAUCAACUGAAGCCAAGAUUCUUCUUUUAAAGAAUGUGGAUAAGAUAAAUAUUUAUUGCAAAGUUAUAAAGACCUAGGUUACAUUGAAGGUGAAAAGUAAGAUACUCUGGAACUUUCAAACAAUAUUGAAAGCUUAAAAAUUGGUGAUUGUAUAGGCAAAAGUAUAAAUGGAAAGAUAUACAAGUCAAAAAGGUUUAGAAUUUUGAGUGCCAAAAAUAUAAUAGUUGAUAUCUUUAAAGAGCAUGUUUUCAUUGAAAUAGGCAUUUUGGCAGAUUUGAGCUAUUCCAACUUUGUAAAGUAUUUUCUUGUUGUGAAAGUGGUUACAAAUAAAUUUGAUAAAAGUUUCUUUAGAGAAUGGAGAAAUAAAAUAUUAUAUUUAGUAAUAAAAUUAAUGGACAUGAAUUUAAUUGAUAUGUUGAAAAAAAUAAAAUCAAAGGAAUUUGCUUUCCUCAUUGAUAUUAUGUAUCAAGUUGCAAAAAAAAUAAGUUAUUUAUAUGAUAUACAAAUUUCACAUUAGAAUUUCAAGCCAAACAACAUUCUUAUAAAUUUUAAAAUAAAGAAAGUUAAGAAAAAUGGUGAAGAAUGGAUACUUGUCAAGAUAAGUGAUUUAAUUUUUUUUAAGAAUAAUAUUGGAAGAAUUCCAAAAAGUAAACAUUGUGAUACUAUUUAUUAUACAUUAGGAUGUGUGGCUUUCAAAGUAUUAGAAAAUGAAGACAAGGCAAUAAAAACAUGUUCUUUUGAAGCACAUGCAUAUUCAUUUGUAAUAACAUGUUUAUAGAUUCUUUCAAGAAAAAAGCCAUUUUCUAAUAUUUAAAAAUAAAAAAGAGAUAUUAAAAAAGAAUAAAAAAAAACUUGAAUUUCCUUCAUAUUAUGAUGAGUUGAUGUAAGUCCAAAUUUCACAACUUGAUGAAACUAAUGCCACACAAUAAGUUCAAGAGGUGAAAUAGGAAAACUCCCAAUUGUGUAAUUGUUAAAAUGAUUUAAAUCUUAGUAUUAGCAAUUCAAUUAACUUUAAGCCUUUGAAGCAAUGGUUACCAAUAUAAAUAAAAAAAGAAGAUUUAAUGAGAUUAUUAUGGUCUUCAAGAUUAUUUGCAUGAUUUCCACUUAAAUUUCAAUGAAUUGUUCAAUAUCAUUUGUAUAAUAUUUAAUUACUAAUUUUUAUAUGAUUACAAAAGUAUAAUUAAUUAGAAUAAAUAAAUAAAUAAAGAAUUAGUUGAAACUUAUAAAUUAUUAUGCCUUAAAUAAUUAAUGGUGAAAGUAAUUGAUCAAAUUGUUAUCAUUAAUCCAUGUAAAAGUAAAAAAAUCUUGAAGGUUGAGUUAAAAGUAAAAAUUAAAAGUAAAAUAAAAAUAAAAGUAAAAAUAAAAGAUAGAUGUUUAAAAGUUAAAAGGUAAAAAUUAAAAUCUAAAAGUUGAAAUAUGAAAGAAAUAAAAGUAAAAGUGGAACUAAAGAGAGAUAAAAGUGAAGGUACCUUGAUAAUGUCUAAGAAUUGAGUGCAGCAAAUCCCCUUCUACUCUAUUUUUUUUCAAAAUUCGUGAUUAACUCCAAAUUGAAUGAUUUUUAGUUUAUUACAAUUUCAACAUGAAGGCGCUCUUAAUUUAAUAAAUUUAAAUUCAAUCCAGUACUUAAGCCCUAAGAAAUGCUCCUUCAAAAUUAAAUGACUAAGUUUGCCACGGUAGGCAACCUCUCUCCACUUGAAAAUUAACCAUAGAUUCAAUUUGUCUUUGAAUUCAAUGAAAUUUAUGCCAUUGAAAGCUCAGCUUAAAAAUGAAAUUAAUUCCAAAAUUUCACAAUAAUCCAAUUAGGAGGCACUAAGAAAUAUCUUUUCAAAGGUGGUUAUUCUCAACUAUUACGGCAGCCAACUCUUGUGCAUUCAAAAUUCCACCAAAAUUCUGUCUUUACUCCAAAUCAAGCAAUCCUUACCUUGUUGGAAAGAUCACAACAAAAGUUAAAAUUACAAAAAGAAUUCUUAUCAAAAAUCAAAAAAUUAAAUGACUGAUUGAGGGAAAUCAAGGCUCUUGAAUCCUUGGGAUAUUUGGAAGGCCAAGGGAGCUAUCUACCGCAAUGAUCUAUGUCUUAAAGUCCAAUGACUAUCAUUCACUACUCAAGAUCUAUGCAUACAAAACCACAAGUUUACAAAAAUAAAAUAAAAAACAUAAUUAAGAUUAGGGUUUAGGGCCAAAAUUUAACAUGGCUUUACCCUUCACCAAAAGAGAGGAGAGAGAGAGGGCUUGGGAAACCAAGCCACUUUUAUGCAAUUGAGUGGUAGAUUGUGGAAGGGCAGCCACAUCUCUACCCUUGAUCUCUAAGAUCCCUAAUGUAGAUCUAUAGCCUUUAUUCAUUUAAGAGCCAAUUUCGUUAUUAAGGCUGAUGGCUCUUUUAAGUGGUCAAGAAAGAACUUUUUGGCAAGUCUAACUUCACCAUUGUGUUCAAAACACCUUUUUAUGCUAAAAUCGACUACUCCUAUGCCUCAAUUCAUGCUCAAUUAUAAUUUUUAUGAAAGUUUUUACCUACAAGGAUCUUGAUAAUUCUUUUAAAAUCCUUCAAAAUGAGAAUUUCAUUGCUCUACUUGUAUUUUGAAGGAGAGGGUGCUGAUCUUAUUUUUUUCACUCCACAGGGUGAAUCUGGUACCACCAUUGCAAUAAAAAGGCUUCUAUUAAUUAGAAGAACCACCAUAUUUCUUGAAUUUGUUGAACUUGGAGGAAAUCUCAAAAGUGUCAUUGCUAAACUUCACUAAAUGUUUUAAAAAAUUAUAAUUCUAACUCACUCUAAAUCAUGUGAAAUGAUUAUAGGUGAACUCAUAAGCUUUAGUCAACCCUCAUAAUAGUGACUAGCAACCUCUAAAUUAUUAAAAAUAAUUAAGUUGCUAAUUUAAUUUUCUAACUCUUAUCACUUUGGUUCUAAUUAAUCUAAUUGAAGGAAUUACACUAUAAUUUAUACCAUCAAAGUUUUUAAUCCUAAAAAAUAUAUAAAACUACAUUCUAUUUAUAUAAAUUAUAAUCUAAUAUUUUAGAUUAUCAUAAAAUAAGAAAAUAACAAAAAUUAAAAUUUUGGAGCAUAAUUGAGAGCUCAUAAUUGACUGAUUUGAUAUAAGAAUGUUGGAGGUUCAAUCCUUCAAAGUAUCCAAAGUUUGGAGAUAUUUAAGAAAGACUUAUAAGUUUGAAGACAAAACUUUUAGUUGGAUUUUAUGAAGAUAAUGGUUCUUCUUUUAGUGAUUCAAAGAAGAAAAGUCAUCAAAUUACAAAACAAAAAGAAACAUGUAGUAAUGAUGAAGUGAUAAAGUUUGUGGUUAUUUAUGUUUUUUUUGAUUGGUUGUUUUAGACAUGAAAUAGAUUCAAGUAGUUAAAUGGUGUAUAUAAAAGAAACAUGUAUGUAUAUAUCAAUAUUAUAUUACAACAUGUAUAAUGCCUAUGUUUUGGCAUAACAAUUGUGGUUUUUUAUAUAAGAAUGUUUGCAAGAAGAUCAACUAUUAAAUAGACAAGAAUACUCAAAUAAGUUGCCAGAGCCAUGUAAAAAAUGUGUAAAAGUAAUAUAUAUUAUUGGCAUGGAUAGAAUGGACAAGACAACAAUGAAAAAAUUUAUAUAUAAUAAUGUAAAGUAUAUGUAUAAAAUUAUUAAGAUGAAUUUGAUUAUUAUUAUAUUUCUAUUGGAUCUAUAUUUAGUUUAAUUUAAAAAUAAAAUAAGAUUUUAUGUAUUUUUUUUAAAUUAGUAAAUACAAAAAAUAUAUGAGUAAAAUUUAUCAAUCUUUUAUUAAUAAAAUAUUCAAUCUAUAUUAAUAAAUCAAAAUCAAAUAUUAUAAUUAUAGAAAUAUGAUAUAAUAGCUAUAAAUAUAUAUAUAUUUAAAAUUAAAUAUAUUAAAUAUUUAAAUAAAAAAUCAUAUGAUUUAAAGAAAAAAAUAGAAAUGAAUAUAUUUUAAAAUUAUAUAUAAAGAUUUAGGAUAGAUUUCAAAAUACUUCAUUAUAUGAAUGUAAAGAGAUCUAAAAGUCCUUUUAAGCUUAAAUGCAUGUAUUAUAUAUGAAAAUAUCAAAUUAUCACAUGUUUAUAAAAUUAAGAAGAAAUUUUAAUGUAUAAAGUAAUCUUAUUGGUGAUAAUGAUGUUUAUAUAAUUUAUAAAAUUAUAUAAUUAUUUUAAUAUAUAUAUAUAUAUAUAUAUAUCGAAGAACAUAGGGCCUUGAGUAGAAUAGUGGUAGAUGUAAGUUAUGAUAGAAUUUUUUAAAUUUUAGUUGAAAUUUUAAAUUUAUAAUCAAAAGUUUUUAGCCUACCAUACAUGCUUCAAAAAGACACAAAUGGAAGGAAGAAAAAAAGAAUUGGAGAUCAAAUGAUAUAAAUAUUAUAAUUAUAGAAUAUAAAAUAGCUAAAUAUUUUAAAUAUAGAUGAUUAGAUAGAAGUCAAGGAUACUUGGAAUCUAAUUUUGUUUGCAUUGCAAAUAUGACUAGAAGUAACAUUAUACCAUAUACGUAGAUAUAAUACAUGUCUAGAUUUUCCAAUAAAAUCAAAUAUAUAUCACAAACAUUUCAAAUAUAUGUGGAUAUUUUGUGUUGGUCAUUGAAGGAUACUAAGAAAAAUAAAAAUAAAAAUUUUGAAAGUAUCCAAAACUUCUUAUGUCACAUUAAAAACACAUCCAUUGUUAAUUCUUUGUUGGCCAUUAAUCUUAAAUUCCUUUUUUUAAGUAUAGUAUCCUAAAAUUUAUAAGAAACUUAUUAAUAAAAUAAUUUUGUAUAUAUAUAUAUUUUUUUUUUGUUUAUUUUUAUUUUUUUUUGUUUAUUUUAUUUUAUUUUAUUUUAUUUUUAUAAUUCAUUUUAACAAUCUUAAUAGUUAAGAUAGUAGAAAUAAAGAAUAUUUUUAAAAAUUUAGUAUUUUCUAAAAAUUUUAUUUUUUCUUCUAUAUUUAAUAAGUUACUAAAAUUAUAGAAGAAAAAAUAAAUUUUUUAGAAGUUAUGGAAAAAUAUUUAUUUAUGCUAUUUUUAAUAGUAUUUUUUUUUUUUUUUAAGAAUUCUUUAUAUUUAAAAGAAAAAUUUUAAAGACUAUAGCUUAAUAGCUUAUAAAGGUUUUAUUUAAAGAAAAAAGCCCUCAUUUAGAAGCUUUAACUUUUAGAUAUAGUAUAAAGUUUACAGAGACUAUAAAAUAAAUUAUAUCAUUUUCUUAUUACAAGUUCAAAUAUGUUGAUUCAUGUCUUAAUUUUAAAAAUCAUAAUUAGUGUAAAAAGAAUUAAUUAUUUUUAUAAUUUUUAUUUUAAAAAAUAAUUAUGGAGCUUUUUGAAUUUUUCAAAAAAAAAAAACCUCUUGAAAUAGAAUAAAUAGAAGUUCUAAGAGCCACAAUAUUUAUGCUAUGUAAGAAAAAAAAUCCAUUCCAACUCAUCUUUUCUUUUAUGGCACUUAGACUAAUUCCUUUAGAUAUAAAGUAUUCUUUUACUCAAUGAGACUUUUCAAUUUCAAUCAGUGAAAGAAUUUAAAAGUUGUAGCCUCUUAUUGUGUUUCCUAAGUAUAGAGUCUUUCUUAUCAAAAUAUAGAAUUUUUGAGAGCUUGUUAAAAAAUUCACCAAUUUAUUUAUUAUAUUAUUCCAAAAUAAUUUAAUUUAAAUAUAAAAUUUAGUUCAAUUUUAUGUAUAUACUUCUCACAAUUAAAGGAUUACAAGUUGGAUUUUGAUAAAUCAACAAAUCAAGAUUUAAAUAUAGAAUAUUUUUUUAAUUGAGUGUAGCUUAUAAUUAAAUUUUAAAUUAAAAUAAUUUUAAUUCAUCAAUUCAAAUAAUAUUUAUUGGAGCUUUAAUCAAAGGAUUUGUAUUAUUAUUAUUAUUUUUUUAAUAAUUUUUGCAACAAUAAGAUUCUAUUUGCAUUUCAACUUCGGGAGGAAGGUAAUGUAUUUUAAAGUAAUAUUCGAAUUACUUUUGAGAGUAUUUCUAAAAGCACCAAUACAAAUCAAAUUUGCAAGUAAUCAUUUUUUUUGGAAUUAACUACUAUUGUUAAAUUUAAAGGUCUAUAACCCACCUUUGAAAUGAUUGCUAGACAUUAUAUUAAGAAAGGAUUUUUAAACACAUACAUCUUUUUAUAAAUAAAAAAUUCUUAUCUAUUAUUUUUUAGAGGAAAAUUAUUAUUUUGAAUGUAGAAUUUUAGUUUCUUAUUAUUUUUGUAGAUAGUUUCUAGAAUAUUUUAGCAUUUUAAAACUCAUAAUUUUUUAUAAUUUUUUUAAAAUUUAAAGAUAAUAUGUAAAAAAAAACUUAAUAAUUAUAUUAGUAAAUCUUAUUAAUUUAUAAAAUAGAUUUAUAGAUUAUUUUGGAAAAAAAUUAUUUGUUGAAAAAUUCUUAUAGGAAGAUUCUUCUUGUAGCUUAGAUAAUAAGGUACUAAAAGGUAAGAUUAUAAGUUCUAAUUCUUGCAAGUGGUAUAAAUACAAACAAAACAAAGGCCUUGAUAGUAACUUUUUUUUUUUUUUUUUUUUUUUUUUUUUUUUUUUUUUUUUUUUCCCCCCCCCAAAAAGAUUCCUGGUUUUUAAAACCGAAUUUUUUUUUUUUUGGGAAAAAUUUUGGCCUUUUUUUCAAAAUUUUAAAAUUUUAAAAUAAAAUUUUUAUUUUGGGCCCUAAAAAUUGGGAUUAAAAAUUUUUAAAUNNNNNNNNNNNNNNNNNNNNNNNNNNNNNNNNNNNNNNNNNNNNNNNNNNNNNNNNNNNNNNNNNNNNNNNNNNNNNNNNNNNNNNNNNNNNNNNNNNNNAUUUUUAUUUUUAAAAAUUCCAUGUAGAAUGUAGAAAAAUCAUAAUAGAAUGUACAAAAAAUAAUUAUAAGGUUAUUAGAAUUUAUUAGAAUUUAUAUAGAUAUCCGUAGGGAAAUGAAUAAUACAUUGACUUUAUAUUUUUAAUUGAUUCAAAAUAGAAAUUUCUGAAAAGGCAUAUAAUAAAAGAUAUAAAAUAAUUUUAUUUUAUGUAAUGUUUUAUUAAAAUAGUUUUUUAUAAAUACCUUUAUAUAUUUACUAAUAUUUAAUAAAUACUCAUAUUAUUUAUGUAUUUUAUUUUAUUUUAUUUUUAAAUUUUUUAAUAUUAAAUAACUAUAUUAUCAUAUUUUUCAAUAAUUAAAUUAUUCUUAACAAUUAAUAAUAGAAAUUAUAAUUAUUUAUAUAAUUAUUUUUUUUUGCUUUAAAUUCAAAGUAUGUAAAGAUUUUUUUGAAUUUCUAUUUCUUGAUUUUAAUUUUCUUAAUACAAAAUGACUAAUGAAUAGGAUGUGUGUUUUAUUUUAUUUUGAUUUUAAUUAUAAAACUAUAAUUUGAACGUGUAUAUCAAAGAGAAUUUUAUUUAAAAACAUGGAUUUUAUUUCUUGCUAUACAAAUUUUAAUAUAUUUUGCAAUAUGGAUUUAAAAAUUUCUAAAAAAAUCAUCAAUACUAGUAAUAUUAGAAAAGUUUCAACUUUAAUGCAAUAUAUUUAAAAAAAAUAAAAUAAAAGCUAAUAUUUUUUUUUUGUAAUACUUGAAGUUGUUAAUAUAGUGGUUUGAAAGUUUUAAGAUAGAUUAUAUAUAUAUAUAUAUUUAUAUAUAAUUUUUAUCAUUAACUUUGUAUUAACUAUUUUAUCUAAAAUACUAUUUCACCAUUUAUUGAUUUUUGUUAUAAUAUUUUUAAUUUUAAUUUUAACUCAUACAAAAAAACAACUACUUAAAUAAAAUUUAACAUCUCUAUUUAUAAUACCAUUAUAAUAAUAUGAUAAAUAAAUUAUAUAUAUAUAUAUAUAUAUAUAUAUAUAUAUAUAGUAAUCCAUCCAUUUACUUAAUUGAUCCACCUUAUUGUAACUAUCAUUAGAAAAAUGGAUCAUCUUUUGAAACUAUCAUUAUAAUCCUAGUUCUCAUUCCCACCUCCCAUGUUUCUAGCUCUUGCUUCUUUGAUUCCUAGCUUUUUUCAUUCCAUCGUCGUAUUCUCUUUCUUUUUUUCUUAAUUCUUAUUUCAAUUGAUGUUUUCUUCUAGACUGAGUAGAAUACUUUAAUACUAUCCUACAAUGAAUUUUUUUUAUUGUUGUUCUUUACUUUGUGAAUUCAUCAAACUCAAGAAGGACUAUGUGUUGGUAAUUCUAUUACAAUUUGUUAACUUUGGAUGGAACAAAAUUGAAAGCAUAAUAUUGCUUACACAAAAUAGAAAAGAUGUGAAGUAUUUAGAAUUUAUCCUGAUUUUAAAAUUGUCAAUAGUUAUAGAACUAAUCAUUGAAUGGAGCUAGCUAGUUUUUAUAAAUUUGUAUAAUGCAAACACAUCAAAUAUUUAAUUUCACAAAUCAAAGAUGGGCAAUAAAAGAUACUUCUUGCUUUGCUUACUAAUCUAAAGAAUAAUUAUAGGAAAGAACCACCAUAUAUGAGAGAGCAUCAUAGGAAUAUGAUUAAAAAAAAUUAUUAAAAUUGAUUGCAGAUAAAAAAAUAACAAAUUAAAUAUUAUCUCAAGGCUUUAGAAGAUAACUUGAUGUUUGUAUAGCUUAGUGAUCACUGCUAAAAAAUUUCUUUGAGAUACAAAAAAGUGAAUUAACUGCACAAAAUAUUUUAUAUGGAGUUUAGAAAAGAAAAUUUGGACUUAGUAUCAGAAGUCAAUGAACCUUCUAUGACGUAUGUUGUAACGACUCAUAAAACCACAAGAUUAUAGGUAUAUGGUGAAUACAGGUCGAUCCCACGAGAAAAAUGGUCAAAGAUCUCAAAUAGCUUACAAAUAUGCCACAUCUUCUUCAUUCAGUCACUUCACUCUUAGUUUAGACUCCUGGGUGAUAGACAUAACCCAACGAGUUGAAGGCCAUUUCUAAACAGGUCUUCAGAUACACAAUCUUCUAGUUUCUCUACUCAAAUCCUCUCUUAUCUGGAAUGAAACAAAGUCUCUUGAGAUGGAUGAUCACUUUAUUCCGAGCUCAGAAACUCAAUCUGAAGGCAGGUCCUCUCGAUUUGGCAGUCUACUGCAAGAGAAUAACACCUUCCUCGAAGUGUGCUACCUUCAAUGCUACUAUGGAUGCCACACAACUACUCUUGCCUCCCAGACAAGGAUCUUCACUAUGUACAGGGACUUACUCCCACAGAGCUUCAACUACCAAAAGAGAUGAGCACCAAGCUACUUGAGUCUCAAAGUAUCGACGAGGGAAUCUGAAUUCAACCUUCAAUAGCUACAGCCACCGGAACAAAGGAUUCUGAUUUCCUCAGAUCCCUCUCUAUUUAUACUACUCCAGUUCGAAAAGGUCUAACUACCUACCUCUAACUAACUAACUGAAAUCUGUUAUAACUGUGGAUACACUAAUCUCGAAGGUCGAAGGUCUGUUUUACUAAGUAUGUGAAGGUCCAGUACCUUCUGUCUUAGUAGAAAAUGUAUCAACUGAGACUCUUAAAAGAUUCUCAAGAGCCUUCUGUGCCGCUACUAGUGACGCCUUCCGUUCUUCAUCAAUCUUCUUAGCCCGUUCCAGAGUUCCUUCAACUCGCUGGUUGAAGGCCUUCAAAUCUUCGAUCUCCCUAUGGGGUUCCUUCCGAAGUUGCUUCCGAAUGUCUUGUUCUUUGUGGCUCUUCCGAAGGCCCUUCGAAAGGCACCUCCGCUCUUCUCACCUUCAGUUUCCUGCACAUGCGGGUGAGAAACGACCUCAUCUUCAAGUUGGUCCUGCCCGUCCAUCCGAAUUGUUUGAUCCGAGGGCACAUCUUCGGGUUGCUGCCUUCGUUUCUUGCGUGUCAUGGUUACAGCUCCGCUCUUACGUUUCCCUUUCGAUGACUGCACGAAAUCCACAUCCUCUAAGUCUGUGAUUCCUGUCACUAUGAAUCUGCGAUCCUUCGCUUGAAGAGCUUGCCAAUAAUUCCUAACUUCUGGUCUUCGGACUAGCUCAUCUUCCUUUAAGAAAUGGGUUGAAGGUCCUUCGCCUUCGGAAAAUGUACAAAAAGGUUUUCUCCAAUAAACUCUAACUCUAUCCUACUAAGUGUAAAAUCUAGAAGAUAGCUAAUCUCGAAGGUCGAAGGUCUGUUUGAAGGUCAUCUUCCAAAUGUAAAUUUUCGAAGAUCUUCAAGAUAACCAUCUUCGGAAUUUUGACCUUCUCUUCAGUCUUCUAACACUAUAUUCCUAAUUCACUGUUUAUCUCCUAUCUUCUUACUUAAGAGCUUCUUCUUCAGAUCUUUCCUAAUCUAUUUCUACAAAAUUUAAAAUAAAUGAUUUUCCUAGGCACCACAUAUGUUAAAAAAAAGAAUGGAGGUGUGAAAUUUGAAAGGAAGCAAAAUAAGCACAAGAUUAUGAAUGAUAAAAAAGAUCCUCUAAGAUAUUUUAAAAGUCAAGUAGAAACACUUGGACAACUCAAGUGAGUCUUGAUAUCCAACAAGACUGAAUAUAAUUUUUUUUUAUUUUUUUCUUGUAAACACUUCCAAUUCUACAUUAAAAUCCAAUGGAAUUUAAAACAAUAUUAAUUUUAUUGCUCAAAGAUAAAAUUUAUUUGACUUAAAAAAUUUAUUUAUUGUUGAUCAAAAUUUGCAUCUUUUUUCUUUGAUAUAAGAUAACUAUGUCUAAAAAUGACAUCUAAUAAAUCUUGUUAUUUUCAUGGAUAAUAAAUAACAUUAAAUUCAAAACUUAAUAAAGAUAUGCUCUGAUGGGCUUAUUAAAGAUUUACAAUACUUAUUGAUAUAAAAUACUUGAUAUUCUUGUGAUUUAUAUAUAUGGUGAUUGGAUUUAAAGUACCAUUAAAUUAAUGGUGUUAUUUUUGACAUGAGACCACAAUUAAAAGAAGUUCUUUUUCAUAGAUCUUGUAAUUAAUUUCAACUAUUGAAAAUCAUCUUAAAUGAUAAGCUACAAGAUGAAUUUUUUUAUCUACUCUUAUUUGUAUUAAUACUACAUCCAAAGCAAAAUUUAAUGUAUUUAUUUCUAUAACAAAUGCUUUAAAAAAAUUGACAUAGUAAAAGAUUGAUUUAGAAGUAAAAACUAUCUUUAAAGCUUCAAAUUAUGCUUUUAUUUUUUUAUUCUAUUCAUAUUUAAUUUUAAAAGUCAAUUGUAUAAAUGAAAUUAUAAUUUAGGAAAAAUACUUUAUAAAUUUUUGAUAAUAAUUGAAAAAUCUUAAAAAAUAUUGAAUAUUUUUUAAUUUUCUUGAUAUCUUCUAAUUUAUGAUGGUUUGAACUUUUUAAGAAUCUAUUAUAAGACCAUCAUUUGAAAUAAUGUAUCAUAAGAAAUCAACUUUAAUUGUACAAAUAUAUAUAUAUAUAUAUAUAUAUAUAUAUUUUUUAUUUUGGUAUAUAAUCUUGCAUCUCUAAGUUUUUAUAGUAUACAAUGAACAUGAAGUUCAUAUUUUACUAUACUCUUAGAAUAGAUUAAAAUGUCAUAUAGAUAACAAAGAAUAAAAUCAUCUAAAAAUUCUUGAAAAACAACAUUCAUUAGAUUAUAUACCAAAAUACUGUAAGUUUAUAUACCAAAUUAAAAAAAUAACCAAAAUUUUGGUUAUAUUUUAGUUAGAUUAUAUACCAAAAUAUUAUAAUUUAUAUACCAAAUUAAAAAAAUAACCAAAAUUUUGGUUAUAAUUUAGUUAGAUUAUAUACCAAAAUUACUGGUGCAUUUGUAAGUCAAAAUGGUAUGUCAUAAUAUUUGAAAUAUCUAUACCUAGUAUAAAAUAUAGUCUUACAUUCAUCUCUUUUUAUGAUGCAUACUUGUCACGGCCAUAAUCAUGUAAGCUAAUAAUUACAUAUAGGAAUAGGUAGAAGUAAGUAAAAGUAGAUAAAAGUAAAUUAAUUCUAUAAUAUUUAAUAUAGAAGCUUCCUAGAAACUUCCUAGACGCUACUUUGACUUCAUAGGUGUCUUUAAUUGACUUUUUGGAUUAGAAACGUGGUCAACAAGUUGGCCAUGUGCCACAUAUGUUGUUAGCUUGAAGAUCAAGCUAACUAUAUGGCCCACACGUAGAAAAACUUGCCUUGUAAGUCAAGGCAUGUGUCCUACAAAGUCAACACAUAUUGGAGGUCCUAUAGAACAUCGCCACGUAGCCCCUAGUUAGAUAGUAUAUAUAGAGACAAGAGUGAAGGCUUCUUCACUCUUGUCAACUCCUUUCUUGCUUCUAGUCCAGGUUCAAGAGUCUUUAGUUUCUUGUCUUGUGGCAAUAGCCAUUUCAGUUUCCUUUUAAUAUACCUACUUGUUUAUAUUUAGACUUAUUAUAUCGAGAUAGCCUUUUGGUGUAUAUUUUCCCUCAUCGAGUCUUUGUCCUUGACAGAUUGACAAGAGUGCACUUACAAUAUCAGAGCUUUGUUUUUUCUUGAGUAAGAGUGGAUUACCCCUUUCUUUUGACAAGACAUAAGCGUAUUAGAAGUUUGCGGAUUACCCACUUCUAAACUGAUAUUGUUCUUAGUAUCUUCUUUGUUAUCAAGUCUUUCUUUUCUUUUGUCUUGAGCAAUAUCAAACAAAUUUUUCUUCUUAGUGUCAUUAUGGCAGAGCUUGUUGAAAUGAAGAGUGCAAUGGCACAAAUGCAAGAGCAAAUGAGGGAGUUAAUGCUUGCGAUGCAUCAACUCAAUUCAACAACACAGGAAAGAACAAGAAUAGCAGAAAGUGGAGAUAUAGAGAUGAUCGGAGCUGCUUCAACAUCUACAACAAAUCACGUUUCUUCUCCAAUUGUACAACACCCUAUAAGCACUAGAGAACCAAGAAUUGCCUUACUUGAGAAAUUUGAUGGUACGAGAUCAAAGUUUCGAGGGUUCAUCAAUCAAGUACAAUUGACAAUUGAACUUCAACCGCAAAGCUAUCCAACUCCAGGAUCACAAGUCAGGUUUAUUGGCACUCUACUUUCUGGUUCUGCAUUAUCGUGGUUUUCAUCUUUUCUUGAACAACGAAAUCUAAUAUUGGACAAUUUGGAAGCUUUUUUGGCGGAGUUUUGAUCUAUGUAUGGUGAACACGAUGCAACUCGUGUUGCAACAAAUAAGAUCCAAAUUCUGCGACAAGAAAAUCGCUCAGUAACAGUAUAUGCUUCACAAUUUCGACAACUUGCAAUUGACAUCAAGUGGGAUGAUGCUGCACUCAUCAGUCAAUUUCUUUAUGGAUUGCAAUACGAAGUAAAGAAAUUGAUGCUCAACUUACCUGAUCCUCAAACUUUGAGUCAAGCAAUCGAUUUUGCGGUAAAAUGUGAUAAUCGACUUUUCAAAUUUCGAUCCGAGAAUCAUUCACGGGAACCUCAACGUUAUUACUCAAUGGCAACAUCAACAUCUUUGCCAAACGUACAUUCAGAAGUAGAAGACAUGCAAAUUGACGCGGUACGUUUUAAACCCCUAACUGAGCAAGAAAAGAUUCGUCGUCGUCAAGAAGGAUUAUGUUUAUAUUGCGAAGAACCUAAGCACACUGCUCAACAUUGUCCAAAGAAACGACGCAACUAUAAAAUGAGGGGUACGACGGUCAAAGAAGACAACAUGUCGGAAAACGGAUUCGUCCAGCUACAAUAGGGACCGUGCAGCUGGAACCUUGUACAAUUCCUAAUGAAGGUCCUAUCCUCUCCUCAGAACCCUCUCCUUGUUUUAUAAUAGACUUAUAUUUAGGACCUAAGAAUUACAAAGCCUCUGCUUUAUUAGAUUCGGGAGCCUCAGCAUGUUUUUUAGAUGAACAAUUUGUUAAAAGUCGUAAAAUACCCUUUGUACAGAAACCUAAACCAGUACAUGUAGAAGUCAUAGAUGGUCGUCCUUUGUCUUCUGGAGAUGUCACUCAUGAAACUCAUCCUAUAAAAGUAACAAUAGACGGUCAUGAUAGCUACAUAGCUUUUAACAUAAUUAAAUCCCCGUCCAAUCCAGUUAUUUUAGGUUUAUCCUGGCUAGAAAAAUAUAACCCUCGAAUAGAUUGGAAUUCACGUAAACUUGACUUUUUCCAAAGCGUUAUUAAUAGUUCUAUCAACCAAGUAAAAAAUUAUAAGUCUAGUAUAGUAAAACUCGUACUGAUAGGUGCAAAAGCAUUUAUACACGCAGCAAAAGAAGGAUCAACUUUUGCUAUUUAUGCUGCACCUAUUUCUAAAAACGUAAAGACUUCAAGUGGCAUUCCAAGUCAAUAUCAGGAGUAUCAAGACGUUUUUGAGAAAAAGAAUGCAGAUAUUCUUCCUGAGCAUCGCCCAUAUGAUUGUUCAAUCGACCUCAAGGAAGGAACUCAGCCACCAUUUGGACCAAUUUACAGUUUAUCGCAAGAUGAGAUGGGUGAAUUCAAGACAUAUAUUGACGAGAAUUUAGCGAAGAAUUUUAUACACCAUUCAAAAUCUCCAGCAGAAGCUCCAAUUCUAUUCGUAAAGAAAAAAGAUGGAUCUUUACGAAUGUGUGUUGA